GAUGAAGAACGUAGCGAAAUGCGAUACGUAAUGUGAAUUGCAGAAUUCAGUGAAUCAUCGAAUCUUUGAACGCACAUUGCGCCCGCCAGCACUCUGGCGGGCAUGCCUGUUCGAGCGUCAUUUCAACCAUCAAGCCCCAGCGCUUGUGUUGGGGGCCUGCGGCUGCCGCAGCCCCCUAAAAGCAGUGGCGGGCUCGCUAUCACACCGAGUGCAGUAGUUCAUCUUCUCUCCGGUCUUGUGAGGCGGGUUCCGGCCGUGAAACACCCCACUACAUUCAAGGUUGACCUCGGAUCAGGUAGGAAUACCCGCUGAACUUAAGCAUAUCAAUAAGCGGAGA
rnacentral:misc_RNA from 1 species